CAAAAGCUUGGUCCUGACUUUACUAUCAGCUUUGGCCAAAUUUACACAUGCAAGUAUCCGCACCCCUGUGAGAAUGCCCUACCGUUCCCCCUUUCCUCCCGGGAACAAGGAGCUGGUAUCAGGCACAACCUAUUGUUUAGCCCACGACACCUUGCUCAGCCACACCCCCAAGGGAACUCAGCAGUGAUAAACAUUAAGCCAUUAGUGAAAACUUGACUUAGUUAAGGCCAACAGAGCCAGCAAAACUCGUGCCAGCCGCCGCGGUUAUACGAGGGGCUCAAGUUGAUGGCCCUCGGCGUAAAGAGUGGUUAAGAAAUAUAACACUAAAGCCAAACACCUUCAUAGCUGUCAUACGCACUUGAAGACAGGAAGACCUUCCACGAAAGUGGCUUUAAAAACUCUGAACCCACGAAAGCUAGGAUACAAACUGGGAUUAGAUACCCCACUAUGCCUAGCCAUAAACAAAAGUGGCAAACCCACCUCUGCCACUCGCCAGGGAACUACGAGCAUAAGCUUAAAACCCAAAGGACUUGGCGGUGCUUUAGACCCCCCUAGAGGAGCCUGUUCUAGAACCGAUAACCCCCGUUCAACCUCACCCUCCCUUGUUGUCCCCGCCUAUAUACCGCCGUCGUCAGCCUACCCUAUGAAGGACAUAAAGUAAGCAAAAUUGGCACAGCCCAAAACGUCAGGUCGAGGUGUAGCGAAUGAGAGGGGAAGAAAUGGGCUACAUUUACUGAUACAGUAUACACGAACGAUGCAUUGAAAUCAGACAUCUGAAGGAGGAUUUAGCAGUAAGAAGGAAAAUAGAGCGUUCCCCUGAAACUGGCCCUGAAGCGCGCACACACCGCCCGUCACUCUCCCCGAGCUUAAAUUUUAAACAUAAAUAAACCACAACAACUGUAAAGGGGAGGCAAGUCGUAACAUGGUAAGUGUACCGGAAGGUGCGCUUGGAAAAAC
rnacentral:ncRNA from 1 species